rnacentral:rRNA from 1 species
ACCCCACUAUGCUUAGUCGUAAACCUAAAUAGUUCUCAAACAAGACUAUUCGCCAGAGUACUAUCGGCAACAGCCCAAAACUCAAAGGACUUGGCGGUGCUUCAUAUCCUUCUAGAGGAGCCUGUUCUGUAAACGAUAAACCACGAUUAACCUCACCAAUCCUUGCUACUUCAGUCUAUAUACCGCCAUCUUCAGCAAACCCUAAAAAAGGAAUGAAAGUAAGCACAACUAUUGCACGUAAAAACGUUAGGUCAAGGUGUAACCUAUGGAUUGGGAAGAAAUGGGCUACAUUUUCUAUAAUAAGAACACCCCUUAAACUUACACGAAAGUUUUUAUGAAAUCUAAAAACUAAAGGAGGAUUUAGCAGUAAAUUAAGAAUAGAAUGCUUAAUUGAAUAAGGCCAUGAAGCACGCACACACCGCC